CAAAAAACAAAAUUUCUGUUGAAGACAAUUGACAAAAAUAAUUUGUCACCGGCUCACCGUUCAUCAAUGGCCGAACCCAAUGUCCCGGGCGACCUGCUCAUAUGAUAAUGGCUAACAGAAUCAAAUGAAAUUCAAAUUCAGAGCCCCAGCUACAAGAAAUGGCGGCACCCAAGCUCAGGCUUCGCGAAGCCAUAGACUCGUUAUACAUUUACGGUCCUGCAACUCAUGAAUCCUACACUCGCC
rnacentral:misc_RNA from 1 species